rnacentral:lncRNA from 1 species
AGCGGCACUGGUUUGCAAAUGAACGAGAACACGGCCAGAAAUUACCUCCUAGCUAAUUUUCCCGGUUCCCGAGCGUGCCGCGUGAUGAAGCAGCGUGGGGUGGCAGCCAAACCCCACGGAGCUGCGAGGGGCUGGGAGCGGCGCCGUGCAGAGCCGGGGCAUGGAGCCCUGCCCUGUCCCUCCCCUGGCCGGGGCGGCCACCACGGGUGGGGAUGGACGGUGUGACGCCGGGCCGGGGUGGUGCCCAGCACCCCUGGCAACCGGCUGCAGCUUGUCCCAAACACAGAGAGCCAUGGGCAUGCACGGACACCUCACCUUCCUCCUCCUCAGCCUCUAUGCCCCGGGUGACACUGCGUGCUGGUGCAGAGCUCGAUGCCCGCCGGGUCAACCUGUACACACUGAUCCUGCGGGCUGCUUGUCCUGGUGAGAAUGAGGUGGAAGAGCGGCUCUUUGUCUGGGUGACAGCAGGGCAUGUGCUGCGCUGUGACACCCUCUUUGCCAGUGCAGAGGGUGAUCUGGUGCAGGUGCUGGCAGAUGUGGCACCCCGGACACCCCUGUAUGUGGUGCUGCCACAGCCACUUGGUGGACUGACGUUCAAGCUCCAAAACCGCAACACACCACUCACGCUCACACGCCGGGGCCUGUUGCUGGCACCUGACAAUGGUUUUGACCCCAGCAAGGACAUCCAGAUGUUCAGGUUGGAGAUUGAGGUGAUGGAUCAUUACGGGCACAACUGCAGCAGGGCUGUAAGGGUGGAGGUGCUGCCACCACGCCGUCCCCGCGUCACCUUCCCGUGAGUGGGGUUGGGUCAGGAGCGGGGUGCUGGUGGCACCAGGCUGUGCCACAAUGCCCGCCUCGCCUGCAGUGAGCCACAUCUGGCUGUGACAGUGACAGAGGG